rnacentral:snRNA from 1 species
AAGAUAAAGUGAGACGUAGAAU